rnacentral:pre_miRNA from 1 species
AUCAAGAGUUCAUCGUUUUGACGGGGCAAAUGUGUAGGCAGUCAAACGGUGCCCUUUUGAAGA